ACCUGUAGUCUCAGCUACUCGGGAGGUUUAGGCAGGAGGAUCACUUGAGCCCAGGAGUUCUGGGCUGUAGUGCGCUAUGCUGACCCACCAAAUUCUGCAUCAGUAUAGUGACCUCCUGGGAGUAGGGGACCACCAGGUUGCCUAAGGAGGGGCGAACAGGUCCUGGUCAGAAACAGAGCAGGUGAAAGCUCCUGCUGAUUAAUAGUGAGAUAGCACUUGUGAAUAGCCACUGCACUUCAGCCUGGGCAACAUAGCAAGACUUUGUCUCUU
ensembl:misc_RNA Metazoa_SRP Metazoan signal recognition particle RNA